rnacentral:rRNA from 1 species
GGGCUCGCGUACCAUUAGCUUGUUGGUAGGGUAACGGCCUACCAAGGCGACGAUGGUUAGCUGGUCUGAGAAGACAACCAGCCACACUGGAACUGAGACACGGUCCAGACUCCUACGGGAGGCAGCAGUGAGGAAUCUUGCGCAAUGGGGGAAACCCUGACGCAGUGACGCCGCGUGGGUGAAGAAGGCCCUCGGGUCGUAAAGCCCUGUCGAGUGGGAAUUGAAGGUACCACUAGAGGAAGCACCGGCUACUCCGUGCCAGCAGCCGCGGUAAUACGGAGGGUGCCAGCGUUAUUCGGAUUUAUUGGGCGUAAAGAGCGUGUAGGCGGUUGGGUUAGUCAGAUGUGAAAUCCUUCUGCUCAACGGAAGAAGUACAUCUGAAACUGCCCAACUUGAGUACGAGAGAGGAAAGUGGAAUUCCCAGUGUAGAGGUGAAAUUCGUAGAU